UGAACUCUUGACACAUCCAGCACUGAGUUGACUGCCAUGAUGGAGGACAUGAGAACAGAAGGGAGAGCAAGACGGCCAAAUAGAAGCCUCCAGCAAUUAUACACCCCCCCAGAGGAACAACAAAUUAAGCAAUACAAGAAAAGCACCUUCAUGAAGUUGAAAACUGAGAUGCAGAACCUUCAAAGGAGUGUGGAAAGUGUCUGGAAGGAAAGGUGUGCACCUUGGAGCUUUCCUUGGAGUGUAUCUUUGAGCUGUUUGCGUUUGGGUGGUGAGU
rnacentral:lncRNA from 10 species